rnacentral:rRNA from 1 species
UACGUAGGGAGCAAGCGUUGUUCGGAAUCAUUGGGCGUAAAGCGCGCGUAGGUGGCCAUGUAAGUCCGCUGUGAAAGUCAAAGGCUCAACCUUUGAAAGCCGGUGGAUACUGCAUGGCUAGAGUACGGAAGAGGCGAGUGGAAUUCCUGGUGUAGCGGUGGAAUGCGCAGAUAUCAGGAGGAACACCAAUAGCGAAGGCAGCUCGCUGGGACGUCACUGACACUGAGGCGCGAAAGCGUGGGGAGCGAACAGG